rnacentral:rRNA from 1 species
UACGUAGGGUGCAAGCGUUGUCCGGAAUUAUUGGGCGUAAAGAGCUCGUAGGCGGUUUGUCGCGUCUGCUGUGAAAACUCGGGGCUUAACUCCGGGCCUGCAGUGGGUACGGGCAGACUAGAGUGCGGUAGGGGAGACUGGAAUUCCUGGUGUAGCGGUGAAAUGCGCAGAUAUCAGGAGGAACACCGGUGGCGAAGGCGGGUCUCUGGGCCGAUACUGACGCUGAGGAGCGAAAGCCAGGGGAGCAAACGGG